GAGGUGCGAGCAUCCCGGCCGUCAGCUUGAGGGAGGAGGGGAUCUCUCCGCGCGCGAUGGAUGCAGCCGAUGGCGGAUCUACUGAGCCUGGAGCUGGACAGAUACCAUCAUUUGCACCUGGGCAGAAGUGAAUCCUGGGCAGUUCCUUUCUACAUCUGAACUACAACUUCGCUAGUCAGUCAG